rnacentral:rRNA from 1 species
GAUGAACGCUAGCGGCAGGCCUAAUACAUGCAAGUCGAACGAGAUUAAGGAGCUUGCUCCUUAUGAAAGUGGCGCACGGGUGCGUAACGCGUAUGCAACCUACCUUAAUCAGGGGGAUAGCCCGAAGAAAUUCGGAUUAACACCGCAUAAAAACACAGGAUAGCAUUAUCCAAUGUUCAAAUAUUUAUAGGAUUAAGAUGGGCAUGCGUGUCAUUAGCUAGUUGGCGGGGUAACGGCCCACCAAGGCGACGAUGACUAGGGGAUCUGAGAGGAUGACCCCCCACACUGGUACUGAGACACGGACCAGACUCCUACGGGAGGCAGCAGUAAGGAAUAUUGGUCAAUGGAGGCAACUCUGAACCAGCCAUGCCGCGUGCAGGAAGACUGCCCUAUGGGUUGCAAACUGCUUUUAUCCGGGAAUAAACCUAAUUACGUGUAGUUAGCUGAAUGUACCGGAAGAAUAAGGAUCGGCUAACUCCGUGCCAGCCGCCGCAGUAACAC